UUAAUUAAAUGAAUGGAAAUAAACUAUAUUCAAAUUCAAUUUGCAUUUACACAUUCCAACUACUAACAUUUACUCCUCCCACAUUUGAACUACCAACAUUUACUCACCCCACAUUUCAACUACCAAGAUUUACUCACCAACAUAUAUCCUUCAUCUAUUUACAUAAACAUUUGAACUACUACUCACCUUUAACCAUUUUCUUUUUGACAAGCAUUUUGCAAGUUUCCUGUCUAAUCAAACUUCCUGCGUGAUCGACUACAGCAAAAAGAAGAUGUCGAAGUGUAGCACAACGCGCUGCGCGGAGUCACUCCACGCUGCGCGGACUCCGCGCUUCUUCAAGGUGGGAUCCAGUUAAAUUCUACUCUUUGCCAGUUAAAUUUCACUCUUUGCCUCUAUUGGAGAAGAAAUUACAGUGGCUCAUGGCCAAAACUGUACGAGAAUUCUGAGAUUGUUUAGUCCCCUCAUGGGUUUCUAUACAAAUUAGCGUAAUCAGUCUUUUUGUUGAUUCUUGUUGGUGACUUUAUUGAUGAAUAAGUUUAAUGAACUGAAAUUGUAAGUUUUAUGUCCUUUUAUUGUGUUUUUUGAGCAAAUUUAACGUCUUUUAAGUAAAA